GUGCCAGCCGCCGCGGUAAUACGGAGGGUGCAAACGUUGCUCGGAAUUAUUGGGCGUAAAGCGUACGUAGGCGGCUCGUCAAGUCGGGUGUGAAAGCCCUCGGCUUAACCGAGGAAGUGCAUUCGAAACUAGCGAGCUUGAAUACUGAAGAGGAUCGCGGAAUUCCCGGUGUAGAGGUGAAAUUCGUAGAUAUCGGGAGGAACACCAGUGGCGAAGGCGGCGAUCUGGGCAGAUAUUGACGCUGAUGUACGAAAGCGUGGGGAGCAAACAGGAUUAGAAACCCCAGUAGUCC
rnacentral:rRNA from 1 species